AUUUAUUUAUUUACUUUUCUUUCAUUCUCCUGACCACCUCUGACAUUGUUUUUAUUUUGAGGAGAUUUAAAAAUAACUUCCCUGUACUCAUUCAUCUUGCUCUCCUGAGAUAGAGGGAAUUUUCACAUUUUCCAGCCAGUUUUAAUGUAGCAGAAACAAUCAGAGGUGCUGCUGUGACUUUUGGUGUAUUAGAAAAGGGGAGGGCUGGGGCAGGUGGGCUUGGCCAAUAAAAUACAGCUGGGGAACAGGAAACUGCAGAGAGAUUUCCCAGACUUGGCCUGCGCUGCAGCCCCGCUGUGCUCUCCUGUGAAGCUGCACCAGGCCUCUGGGCUGAAUUCCCACCUGGGCUUGAGAGGGCCCUCCCAUGUUGGUCCUUCUUGCUCCCUAGUGCAAGACUUCCUUUGCCCACAACGACACUGCCUCCCAUGUACAGAACAGUGCUAUCGCUAUGACUCAUUUCUGCAUCUUGAUUGCUGAGAUCACUGAUCAGGUUUGUGACAAAACAGCAUCAAAUCUGAAGAGUUGUGUCCUCCCCGCACCACCCCCCUCGCCCCCACCAUUAUUUGCUCACCUUGAAGGUAAUCCAGGAUAGGAGUCCCUCUGAAGCAAACAGAACAUCCAUCAAAGACCCGAAAGAACAUAAGGCCGCAAAUCCUAUCUAUGAAGAUAGGCACUUCCAUUCAUUCUGAAGUCCUCACAUAGUAGUUAUUCAGUGAAUGUACCCUGGGGGUAUAUCCUGUUUGUUCCUCCAGAUCCACUUUUCACCUUUCCCCUUACCUGCUUUGUGCUUCAAGAAACUGACUUCAACAGACAGCAUCAUCUGGGCUUCUUUACCCUGUAGUGUUCAGCUGAGUUCAGCCAAUGGAAGACACUAGUAGAAGACUGGAAGGAUAGAGGAGAGAAAGAUUGGAAUAUUUAUUCCCAUCUCAUACUACAGUUUUUGUAGUGAUGGUUCUUCCUAUUGGACAGCUUCCACCUAUAACUACAGUUCUCUCCUGGUUCCAGAAACUGCUUUCUCCACUUCUGACCUAGGAGUAGCCACAGCUCCCAGCUGUUGUUAGACCCCAGGUGUAUUUUGUCAUCUCUUGUUACUUCCCUUAACCCUGCCACAGCUCUGAAAAUAGUCCAGUAAUUAAAUACUUUUUGAGCUAUUUCUUUGAGUAUACCACCUGUUUGUUUCGUGCCUGGACCCUGAGUGAUACAGUAUAAUAAAUAAUGUUCAAUACAAUAUACAAUGUAAAAUACAAUAGAUAAUACAAUUCCUAAAAACAAAAAGGAAGAAAGGAAAUAAAGAAUAAAAAAAGAAACAAAGAAGGAAAACCGGAUUUCUACCACCAAAAUGAAAUUAUUAUUACAAUUAUAGUGUAUUUACUUUUAGCUUUUUAAAUGCAAUUUUUAUGUAGUCAUUACUGUGGUAUAUAUGUAUUUAUGCUUAUUAAGUAGUUAUUUUUAACAUUGCCU
rnacentral:lncRNA from 10 species